CACCUACGGGAGGCAGCAGUGGGGAAUUUUGGACAAUGGGCGCAAGCCUGAUCCAGCAAUGCCGCGUGUAGGAUGAAGGCCUUCGGGUUGUAAACUGCUUUUGUACGGAACGAAAAGGUUCUCUCUAAUACAGGGGGCAUAUGACGGUACCGUAAGAAUAAGCACCGGCUAACUACGUGCCAGCAGCCGCGGUAAUACGUAGGGUGCGAGCGUUAAUCGGAAUUACUGGGCGUAAAGCGUGCGCAGGCGGUUUUGUAAGACAGAGGUGAAAUCCCCGGGCUCAACCUGGGAACUGCCUUUGUGACUGCAAGGCUGGAGUGCGGCAGAGGGGGAUGGAAUUCCGCGUGUAGCAGUGAAAUGCGUAGAUAUGCGGAGGAACACCGAUGGCGAAGGCAAUCCCCUGGGCCUGCACUGACGCUCAUGCACGAAAGCGUGGGGAGCAAACAGGAUUAGAUACCCUGGUAGUCCACGCCCUAAACGAUGUCAACUGGUUGUUGGGGGUUAAUUCACUCAGUAACGAAGCUAACGCGUGAAGUGACC
rnacentral:rRNA from 1 species